rnacentral:rRNA from 1 species
CCUACGGGGGGCAGCAGUGAGGAAUAUUGGUCAAUGGACGAGAGUCUGAACCAGCCAAGUAGCGUGAAGGAUGACUGCCCUAUGGGUUGUAAACUUCUUUUAUAAAGGAAUAAAACGAGGCACGUGUGCCUUUUUGCAUGUACUUUAUGAAUAAGGAUCGGCUAACUCCGUGCCAGCAGCCGCGGUAAUACGGAGGGUCCGGGCGUUAGCCGGAUUUAUUGGGUUUAAAGGGAGCGUAGAUGGGUUGUUAGAGCAGUGGUGAAAGUUUGCGGCUCAACCGUAAAAUUGCAAUUGAUACUGGCAGUCUUGAGUACAGUUGAGGUAAGCGGAAUUCGUGGUGUAGCGGUGAAAUGCGUAGAUAUCAGGAGGAACACCGGUGGCGAAGGCGGCCUGCUGGACUGCAACUGACGUUGAGGCCCGAAAGCGUGGGGAGCAAACAGGAUUAGAUACCCCAGUAGUC